ensembl:lncRNA
AUGGGGGAUGCCAAUGAGAGGGGAUUUUUGGGGCCAAAAAAGGGGAUUUUGGGGACAAAGGGAGGACCUGGAGGACCAAAAAGUGGAUUUGGGGACACUGGGGGGGGGGGAUUUAGGGUUAAAAAGGGGAAAUUUGGGGACACCAGGGCAGAUUUGGGGCCAAAAGAGCAGAUUUUGGGGGCGAAAAUGGGGAUUUGGGGCCAAAUAAAAAGGGAAUUUGNGGGACUGGGAGGAACUGGGGGGGGCACUGGGAGAUACUGGGAGGGACUGGAAGGGACUGGGAGGGCGCUGUGGGGGGGGCACUGGGAGAUACUGGGAGGGAGUGGGAGGGCACUGGAACUGGGAAGAACUGGGAGGUACUGGGAGAUACUGGGAAGAACUGGGGAAGCACUGGGAGAGACUGGGAGGCACUGGGAGGUACCGGGAGGGCGCUGGGGGGGCACUGGGAGAUACUGGUGGAUACUGAGAUGUACUGGGAGUCUCUGGGAGAUACUGGGAGUGAUUGGGAGGCACUGGGAAGAACUGGGAGGAACUAGGAUUAACUGGGAGAUACUGGGAGGCACUGGGGGGUACUGGGAGACACUGGGAAGAACUGGGAGUAACUGGGAGAGACGGGGUACUGGGAGGCACUGGGAGGGACUGGAUGGAUGCUGGGAGGCACUGGAAAGGUACUGGGAGGAACUGGGAGAAACUGGGAGGGCUGUGGGGGCCACUGGGAGUAACUGGGAGGUACUGGGAGGAACUGGAGAUAUCCGUGCCUCAGUUUCCCCCAUUGGGAAGCACUGGGGGGCACUGGGAGAAUACUGGGAUGUACUGGGAGGAUACUGGGAGGCACUGGAAAGCACUGGGAGGAUACUGGGAGGUACUGGGGGGCACUGGGAGGAUACUGGGAUGUACUGGGAGGAUACUAGGAGGCACUGGAAGGCACUGGGUGGAUACUGGCAGGCACUGGGAGAUACUGGGAUGUACUGGGACAUACUGCGAAGCACUGGGAGGAUACUGGGUGGUACUGGGAAGCACUGGGAAAUACUCAGUGGUACUGAGAGGCAUUGGGAGGAUACUGGGAGGUACUGGCAAAGUACUAGGAGAAACUGCGAGGCACUGGGAGGUACUGGGAGGCACUGGGAGGAACUGGGAGCUACUGGAGGAAUGUGUGCCUCAGUUUCCCCAACUGGGAGAUACUGGGAGGCACUGGAUGGUACUGGGAGAUACUGGGAAAAACUGGGAGGCACUGGGAGAUACUGGGAGGCACUGGGAGGAACUGAGAAGCACUGGGAAGAACUGGGAGGUAGUGGAGGGAUCUGUGCCUCAGUUUCCCCCGCUAGGAGGGACUGCGGGCACUGGGAGAGACUGGAAGGAACUGGGAGAUACUGGGACGACAUUAGAAAGGAGCAGGGAUCACCGGGAGAUACUGGGAGAGACUGGGAAGGACUGGAGAGCUGUGUGCCUCAGUUUCCCCACGAGGAGGAACUGGAGAGCACUGGGAGGCACUGGGAGUCUACUGGGUGGUACUGGGAGGCACUGGGAGGCACUGGGGGGCACUGGGAGAUUCUGGGAGAUACUGGGAAGCACUGGGAGGUACUGGAGGAAUCUGUGCCUCAGUUUCCCCCACUGGGAGGGACUGGGGGCACUGGGAAACACUGGAAGGAACUGGGAGAUACUGGGAUGAUGGUAGAAGGGAAAGGGAGAUCUCUGGGACAUACUGGGAGAUACUGGGAGGGAUUGGGAAGGACUGGAGAGCUGUGUGCCUCAGUUUCCCCCACUGGGAGGGACUGGGGAGCAGUGCAAGGUACUGGGAGGCACUGGGAGGGACUGGAAGGGACUGAAGGAAUCUGUGCCUCAGUUUCCCUAACUGGGAGGGACUGGAGAGCACUGGGAGGGACUGGGAAGCACUGGAAGCAUACUGGGAGGUACUGGGAGAAACUGGGAGGAUGUGUGCCUCAGUUUCCACCACUGGGUGGGACUGGGGGGGUACUGGGUGAUACUAGGUGGUACUGGGAGGCACUAGGGGGCACUGGGAGGAACCAGCGUCCCAGCAACGCUCUGUGCGCCUCAGUUUCCCCCACUGGAACUCACUGGAAAGGACUGGGAUGCACUGGGAGGGGCUGGAGGAGCGUGUGCCUCAGUUUCCCCAACUGGGAGGAGCUGGGACAGACUGAGAGAAUACUGGGAGUAUACUGGAGGCCACUGGGAGGCACCGGGGUCCCAGCAGCGCUCUGUG